rnacentral:tRNA from 2 species
GCCCCAGUGGCGGAAUCGGUAGACGCAGCAGACUCAAAAUCUGCCGUUCGCAAGGACGUGCCCGUUCGAGUCGGGCCUGGGGCACCA